UACGUAUGUCGCAAGCGUUAUCCGGAUUUAUUGGGCGUAAAGCGAGUCUAGGCGGUUUAGUAAGUCUGAUGUAAAAAUGCGGGGCUCAACCCCGUAUUGCGUUGGAAACUGUUAAACUAGAGUGCUGGAGAGGAAGGCGGAACUACAAGUGUAGAGGUGAAAUUCGUAGAUAUUUGUAGGAAUACCGAUGGCGAAACCAGCCUUCUGGACAGAUACUGACGCUGAAGCUCGAAAGCGUGGGUAGCAAACAGG
rnacentral:rRNA from 1 species